rnacentral:tRNA from 1 species
UCCUGGGUCGUUCAACGGUAGGACGCUGCGCUUUGAACGCGGAGAUCAAGGUUCAACUCCUUGCCCGGGAGCCA